GAUGAAGAACGCAGCGAAAUGCGAUACUUGGUGUGAAUUGCAGAAUCCCGUGAACCAUCGAGUCUUUGAACGCAAGUUGCGCCUCAAGCCAUUAGGUUGAGGGCACGUCUGCCUGGGCGUCACAUAUCGUUGCCUGAUGCCAGUUUCCUCGUGAUGGGUGACUGUGCAGGGCGAAUGAUGGCUUCCCGUGAGCAUUGUUGCCUCAUGGUUGGUUGAAAAUUGAGUCCUUGGUAGGGAGCGCCGUGAUAGAUGGUGGUUGAGUGACGAACGAGACCCAAUCAUGUGAGACCCCUACCGAAUUUGGCCUUCAUGACCCACAUGCGUCUUUGGAACGCUCAUGACGAGACCUCAGGUCAGGCGGGGCUACCCGCUGAGUUUAAGCAUAUCAAUAAGCGGGA
rnacentral:misc_RNA from 1 species